AGGGGAGAGUGGGGAGACUUGAUCCCCUUUUUUUGUAUCGCACAUAACUCUGUCAAUUUCUCACAAAACUAUGAUCUUUUUGCAUGAAUUGAAAGCUUAAACAUUCAACUAUGUUUGGCUGAUAAGGGUAUUUCAUCAGAUAAACUCUUCGAAUCAUGCCAAGCGUUUUAAAAAAAUAUUUUAAACCGGCAUUUUCAAAAUGUUGGGGGUAAUUUGAUCCCCCUUUCAACAUUUUGAAGAAAUCUUAAGGAAAAUGUUUUUUAUUCAUCCAAACUUUUAAUUUUCUAUAAGUUACAGCAAUUUUACAUUAAACCUGUACGUUUGUGUUCAAAAUAUAACAAGUUUAGAAUGCCAAAAAAUUAAAAACUUAAAAUUUUCUUUUUUAGACCAAAAUUGAGCAUGUUUACAAAAGCUGGUAAUUUUUGUUUACAAAACUUUUGAAAAAUGGUUCAAACUGCAGGAAGUUAUGCACAACUAUACUAAAGGAAACUAUGUACGAAAACCCAGCCAAUUACUUGAUCUUGAGGCUGAUUCCAGUGACUGUAAAAAUGCAGGGAUCAAGUCUCCCUAAACGCACUUUUUUAAACAAUUGAUUGUAAAAAUAGUAUGACGAUAAAUUUAACGUCAAAUACGUAAGGGUUUUGGAGUUGAUAUGUUUAUCAAACAAUUCAUGUAUAAACAAUAUUUUUUGAAUAAUUUUUGAGUGUUUUCUAUACUUAUCAAAACAAAGAAAAAAGAUCUCUUGGAAGUUUUUUGGAGCACUUUUUAGAAAAAUGUGUGUAACUCUAUCUAAAAUUUUUUGAAUUUUUUUCUUUGUUUUCUACAAUGAGUUUUAGUCAAUUUCGCACAACUUUCUAGAACAAAGCUAAUUGUUUUACCCACAUGCUGACGAGAUACAGGCUUGGGAUCAAGUGUCCCCGGGGAUCAAGUCUCCCCACUCUCCCCUACUUGUCUAUAACAAACGGUCCAACGUGGAUAGUUCGCCAUACUUCAGAACCACUUCAACGGAAACAACGGUGGAACCAACCUCCCGGGGCAUCAGCUGCAGAGUUCGAACCGAAAACGGCCUUGCUUUGUGCCACUUCUUUUUCCGAGCAGAAUGUGAAAGUUAGUGGUGUCAAAAGCCGCGACGUCGUGUCUCACAUGAUUCUUCCGCUCUGAUAAUGGUUCCGUGACAGUAAUCAUCACACCAACAAAAUCCCGGUUAACAUGAGUGUCCGUCCACGGUAGUGACGAGAAGGACACAAGCAAUGCGUCGACAGUAAGGAUGCCGGAAGUUGAUCCGGUUGACGUGGACAUUCGCAAGCUGCACGAUCGUUAGAUGAGGCCAGGUGGAAGUUCCGGAUCGGCACCGCCUCCUUCGGACGGUUCAUUUUGUCGGGACCGAUGAACGACGAUUGGAACAAUCGUAGAAUGCGAAAUAACAGUGGCGUCGGAGGCGGAUACAACAGUAUCCCCCCGAGCUUCGUCUCGGACGGCUACGGUGGCGGUACGAAUCAUCUUCAAUCUCAACGCAGUCUGGUGGUAGAUAUCGUGACCCCUACGGAGAAGGCGAUCGUGGACAAAUGCAACCUCCAAGGUUGGCCAACCAGCAACAGCGAGACCAGCACCGGGAUCACGACGACCACCGGCGGGAGAUUGUCGUUCAGCGACCUUUCAUCCAGGACGAGGAGCUGCAGCGCAUCGAGGCUAUCAUCAAAGUAAUGGGCUUGGCCAAGGACGACGAGUUUGACUGCAACCAGAAGCCGCCACCAACUAAAGCAACAACAACAAGCAAUGUGAACGCGAACGCCAAGAGCGUGAAUCGGCCGUCCGUCAACAGCAGCCGCCCUCGCAAUAGAAUGGCCACGUCAGCAUCGGAGGUAGGCCAAGGAACGUCUCAAGUUGCGUCGCCAAGAGGACCAGCGAAUGAAGAUGGAACGCAAGCAGGCCGCGGCCACGAAGCUGCAGGAACUGGAUCAGCAGCUGAAGAGUAAAAAGUGUGAAGACGGAAGACCGGGGUCCAAUACUACAUCAAAAUCCGGCCCACGUUCCUAGAAAUUCUCACCCCAAUCGUAAUCCGGAAUUGCCACGCGUGACGGCCAUGGCCUUGCAGGUGCCCUCGAAACGACGCAGCAGACGCAGCGCAGCACAAGUGCUCGCAAACGAUGGAUGUAAUGCUGCACGAACGAACCUUCCCUCUGCUGCUCUCCGGAAAUGCUACUCGGGACGACCAUGACCUUCUCAAAAACCUUUCUUUUGGGUGAGGAAAUGACCCCAGCCGGCUUCACUACAAGCGCUUCAAUACCGUAAUUGGCAAAUUGCACGAAACAGCCUCGAUGGUUGGUCAUGGCCCGGCAUGUGCGCUCGGAACGACGGAUUAAAUGCUGCACUAUGGUGCUAGGUCAAGAUCACCGGAACCGUUCCACGUUCCUUGCCAAUUCCUUUAAAAAUUUUGGUUCAUGCAAUCCGAAAUUGCCACGCGGAACGGCCAUGGCUCCAGAAGUUCCCUCGAUAGACGCAUCAUGGAACAGGCUCGCAGGCUUGUCGCCACCGGAAAGAGUCAGCUCCGAACACGCUGGCCGGACGUCCGUCGCCCUACACAUGCCCUUGGGACGACGGAUUAAAUGCUGAACCGGUUCACGUUCCCGGCCUAUCCGUUUUUAUAAAUUAGGUUCUUGCAAUCCGGAACCGCCACACGCAACGGUCAUGGCCGCCGGACGCUGGCCAACCUGUAAGAGCUCUCGGAACAACACUACACGGUCUCGAAACGUAAUGCGCGGAAGUGACUCAAUGACGGUCAUGGCCUUAAAAGGUGGUGUAGCAGGAUCGUCAUCGUCAACCAAGGCAUCUGAGCAUCACAACAUGUUAAACAGCGCGGAAUAGCAACCGGAUUUGAACGGAGCCUGGGGACAUUCUUAGGCUGUGUAACCCGUCAGGGGCUGGUACGUCGACACAGCAGAGGCGAUCCACGACCUGGCCUUUCGCGAGAAAAAUCCGUGGCAGAAAUGCAGCGCCAACAUAAACCACAGCAGGAGUAGAACAGAGUGGCCAUCGUAACCACAUUAAUCGCCAAAAUUUCGUCGCCUGAGACGUCCAAAUUGGCUUCUACCAGUUCACUGCAAAAACAGCACGAGCACAACCAGGGCCAAGCCAAAGAUUCCGCCAUUGGGAGGCAGGUUUCCGGACUUCUCAAUGUCAGAGAGAAGCGCAGAAGCGACGACAUGUUUUGGCCAAUCUGCUAAACGACUGAUACCUUCCUGCCGAGCCGAGGAAGUCCUAGAUAACCACCAAACGGGCCACUCUCUGAAACGCGACUCUCUAAACAAUUGCACGUCGACAGAACCGACCCGGCGGGUGGGUAACAAUGCGAUCAAGAAUCCGGAACCGUUGGUUGCAUACCACCUAGUGAAUGCUGGCCAGCUUGGUGAUUCCGGUGAUCGCCGAACGUCGCGGCGUCAUAACAGUGUAGCUGCGGAAGAUGAUUCCGUGACGGCGGACAUCUAUGUUAGUCGAGGAUGAUGAGGACAUGGACAGCGCAAUCACUCCUAGUUGAACUCGCCGGUUCCGGUUGAUCCAUGUGCACUCUACCGUGCACCCGGACUAAACGCCAGAAAAGUUGAAAAAGCCUCGAUUCCGAAACGCGCUGAAGUUGUCAAUGGAGACCGGAACAUGGAGACACAAUUUGGAACGACGAUGUUUCCCAUCGUCGCCCCAUCCACCACCAUCUCUUCAACGCCAGCAGUCCUGCCUAGAUGACUCCGACCAUUUGAAGAACCGUAACACCGGCCAGCCUCAACUCCUGCCGCAAGCCAGACACCCUCGAUGCACGACUUGGCUGUUCUAAAGUACUAAAGAUGCAGUUCACCGGCUCAGCAAGCUGCUCAACUGCAAAGCGUUCAUGCUCCGGUCUAUUCCAAGGGCGUCCCUCACCGGUUCCAAGGGCGAGAACGACGACGGUGGGACGAUAACUAGCAGCAUAAAGAAUGGAGAUCGCUUUUUGUAGUGACUUUGGGCUGGUCUGCAAUCAACCCUAAACCUGGACAUCUGCCCAGUCCUUGGCCUGUUAAGCUCCCCUUUGAGUUGGGCGAGUUCAAGAAAAAGUUCAUCGGAACGCACGGGAACAAGCGAGGGAACAAGGAGGAGACUGUAACACUUGGGGCCGCUCAAAUCGUGGGUGGCCAAUCGGAACUCGGACGGAUUGAAAUCAUCCGCCAUCAUUUACCAGCAACCUCCAAGGCGAGACCGGCGAGUUUCUUCGUCGGCGGCGGAGAGAUGGAACACAAGCAGGCCGCGGCCAGGAUCGAGGUUCUAGAAGCUUAAACUAGUGCGAAAUCCUUCCGGAAACAGUCUGCAGGGAAGUCAACCGCAGGGUAGUGGUUGCGGUGGUCGAGUUCAAACCAAUAGCACCGCCAGCAACCAUCGUCGACGCUUUCGGAGAGCGAGCCUAAACAGAUUCUUGGGCGGAUCUAGGAAAUUUCGGACAAGCUGGAGUCAUCCAAGGUGGUGGAGCCAAAAGUCAGCGAACCUGAGGAGCUACUGUCGAGGCCUUGGGAAGAUGUGGUAGAAGCUGCGGAGGAAUCGAGCUAGUCACUUGACGUGUGCGCAACCUCGUUGGGCCAGAUGACGACAAAAAGGGCGAUUCCGGAUCGGAUGCUGGCAAGAACGACAGUGGUCGUGUGUCUGCGGCCCGUUCAGAUGCACUCGAUUGAGCUCAUGAACAAGGAUCCCAACGCGCGGUACGAACAAAGCCCGGAAGAAUCUCCGGAACCGUGUCCUCGAAGUUUUUCCCCCAAGAUUCCCCGACGAUGUUUCUAGAACUUUGCUCUAGUUGCUAUUCGGGAUUGUCACUUGGUACGGCAGUGACGACCUCAAGGUUCCUUCGGAAAGUUCAAACUUGCCGGGAGGUCGCCAACCUGCAAGUGCUCUCGAAACGACGCUGGACGAAAAAGGCUCGAUGUACAAUCAUUACCCUGCAAGUUCCCUCGUCACGUCGCUCUAUGGAUUAGGCUCGGAACGCGCAUGGCAACAAUUGGACAACUCCGAUCCUGGACCCUGACGGAAGCCGCUGCCUGACCUGUGCCUGACGAUCACAUAUACGAUUGCCGAUAUAAUCCGGAACAGGUACGCAGGACGACCAUGGCAUUGCCAGCGACCUUGGAACGACGACAGCUCACAAGUUCCUUCGGAGCGACGAGUGGGACGCCAGGUCCAGAGCAAAAGAACAUUCCAGGAGCUCGCCCUCCCUUCAAGCGCAUUCCGAAACUGUCACGCCGGAAGGCCACCUCCUUGCAGAUAACUUUUGUACGAAGCACCACGGAACAGGAUUGACGGACUUCUGUCGCGAUGCAAGUGCCCUUGGAACAGCCGCUGGACGAACGCGUCCAACUCCAAUUCAACCGAAGCCAUUUCCUUCGCCCAGAGCAUUCUUUAUUUGUACACUGUUUUUUUUUCGGAAAAUCGUGCCUAAGUUGGUGAUGCGGAGCAGCAAAAUAAAUGAAUUAAAACCUGAAAAUAACUGUUUCAAUCAAAACAAACCCAAUGACAGAUGACAGAAAAAGAAGAAGAAGAGCACUAAAAAGGGGUUGAUGCGCGUCCGAUUUUUCACCCUUACGUCGUUCUUACAUCGGCCACGCACGUAGGCCUCUUGCGAUGUUCGAACAACCUUGACAGGUUGACGUUUCGGGUGCAAAAUACCUUGAUUCGGGUCUGAUGCGUGUCUCAAAAUCAGACCCGCAUCGGCCCCUGUAGGUCUGAUCGUCGUUCUUACGAUCAGACCCGAUCGGCCCCGUAUUUCUUACUGGGAAGGGCAGUUAAGACAGAACGGCCGCAAUUAUAGUAUGACGGUCAAUACAGAAGGACAAUCAAGUCAAAAAAGCAGUCAGGGCAGAAGCGCAGACAAUACUGAAGGCAGUCAAUACAAAAGGGCAGUCAAGACAGGAAGGCAGUUAAAUCAGAAGGGCAUUAAAACCGAUGGGCAGUAUAAACCCAAUGGCAAUAAGAACAGAAGAGCAGCCAAGAAAGAAGGGCAAUCAAGACAAAAAAGGCAGUCAAGUCAGUAGGGUAGGAUAAUUGUCAAGACGGAAAGGUAAUUACGACUGAAGGGCAGUCAAGACAAAUUAGUUAAGAUGUAGACUGCCAUUUUCAUCGAAGUUGAGUUAUUGAUGCAGAUUGGUUCAAAAUCGUAUGCUCUUUCAAACAAGCCUAUAACAUCCAGUAACUUUUAAUAAAAAUCAGGAGGAAAUCCAGUUUUUUCGCGAAAACUUAACACGUAGCCUUAUGUGUGGGACAAACUUCAAAUGCAUUUUUCUCAGCUUGUUGUUUUUGCAUAUGGGACAUUUAUACGAACAUGGGCAGUAGAGAGCAGUUAAAAUAGCUAGACAAUCAAGAAACAAGAGCCGUCAAAUCAGAAGGGAAGUCAAGACAGAAAAUCUGUCGAGACAGUAGGGCAUUCAAAACAAAAGGGCAGUUAAUAUAGAGAGGCAGUCAAUACAGUAGGGCGGUCAAUAAGAAAGUCAGUAACGCAGAAGCGUAGUUAAUACAGAAGGGAAAUCAAGUUUGAAGGACAGUCAAUACAGAAGGUAGUCAACAAAGAAGGGCAGUCAAGAAAGCAGAGCAGUUAGCAAAGAAGAGCAAACAAGAAAGAAUGGCAGUUAACGCAGAAAAGCAAUCAAUACAGAAGGGUAGUCAAGACAGAAGGGCAGCCAAGAAAAAGGGCAGUCAAGACAGAAGGACAGUCAACGCAGAAGUCUAGACAGAAAGGUAGUCAAGAACAAGGGCAGUCAAAACAAAAAAAACAGUCAAGACAGAAGGGUAAUUUAGAAGAAAAAAAGUUUAGUUGAGAGAGCAGGGCAGUUGAGACAGAAGGGCAGUAAAGACCGAGGGACAGUCAAGACAAAAUAAGACAGCCAAAUCAGAGGGGUAGUUUGGUCCGAUGAGUCACAAUUUCGACCAGUUCAACCAAUUAAAUUUUCUCACAACCAGGUCGACACCCUGCUCGAUCCUAGUCCAUUUGAGCCAUUGUCAUCAUCAACGGCAGUGAGAUAUCGAUUGAAGAGAGGCGGACAGUUUUGCCUGAUGCCGUUCGACCCAUCUACGGGAAGGAAACAACGGGGACGACAAUCGAAGAACGUUUCGCUGAGCUGCCGCUGGCAGC